GAUGAACGCUGGCGGCGUGCCUAAUACAUGCAAGUCGAGCGAACAGACGAGGAGCUUGCUCCUCUGACGUUAGCGGCGGACGGGUGAGUAACACGUGGAUAACCUACCUAUAAGACUGGGAUAACUUCGGGAAACCGGAGCUAAUACCGGAUAAUAUAUUGAACCGCAUGGUUCAAUAGUGAAAGACGGUUUUGCUGUCACUUAUAGAUGGAUCCGCGCCGCAUUAGCUAGUUGGUAAGGUAACGGCUUACCAAGGCAACGAUGCGUAGCCGACCUGAGAGGGUGAUCGGCCACACUGGAACUGAGACACGGUCCAGACUCCUGCGGGAGGCAGCAGUAGGGAAUCUUCCGCAAUGGGCGAAAGCCUGACGGAGCAACGCCGCGUGAGUGAUGAAGGUCUUCGGAUCGUAAAACUCUGUUAUUAGGUAAGAACAAAUGUGUAAGUAACUAUGCACGUCUUGACGGUACCUAAUCAGAAAGCCACGGCUAACUACGUG
rnacentral:rRNA from 1 species